rnacentral:rRNA from 1 species
GACAGAGGGGGCAAGCGUUGCUCGGAAUCACUGGGCGUAAAGGGCGCGUAGGCGGGAUGGCAAGUCGGUCGUGAAAUCCUUCGGCUCAACCGAAGAACGUCGGCCGAUACUGCCGUUCUUGAGGGAUGCAGAGGAGAUUGGAAUUCCCGGUGUAGCGGUGAAAUGUGUAGAGAUCGGGAGGAACACCGGUGGCGAAGGCGGGUCUCUGGGCAUCUCCUGACGCUGAGGUGCGAAAGCUAGGGGAGCAAACGGG